ensembl:lncRNA
CCAGCCAGAUCUUCUCAUUGUGAUAAGCUUGGCCUGAUAAAGUUUAGCUCGGUGUUAGUCAUGCAGAACAAACACCAGAUAAGUUUUCUUUCCUCUCUCCUCCCCGUUCGCCUCAGGAAAUGGGAACUCCGUGACAUUUUGGUGGAAGGCAGGAGCAGAGGCUAUAAUGAGAAAGAUGAUUCUAGAAAGCAAAUGCGGGGGACCCUUUCACCUUGGGGAGAAGCAGCAUUCCUUCACUCACCAAGUCAGCGGAUGUUCUGGAAACAAGAAAUGCUGAGCCAGCCCGGAGCCCACAGGCUCUGGGAGGAGAUCGGAAGGCAGGAACCGGGCAGGGAGAUUUGCCAGAGAGCCACUGCCCCACGGUGGACUCACAGGAGUCGGCCAGGAGGAGAAUGGCCUCCGGGGUUGCUGCCAUAGCUUGGAGCAGGGAGGUCGAGGCCCAGCCGGGGUCCUGGAAGGCCAAGGGCAGCACACGGAGGAGUCCAGGCCUCGCCUGCGCCAGUUGGACCUGGAGGCCUGAGAAAGCCCUGCUGGGGCCCAGGCGCUGAGGCACCCCAGGCUCAGCUCAGGUCCGAGGGGACAUCUUGAAUGUGUUUAAAACUGUCUGAGACUGAGUCCCUGGUCAGCCCCUGCUGACCAUCGUGUGCACACGCUGAGGUGGCCCCGGACCAGAAGGUGUGAAGGAACUAAAGUUUCCUUUUUGGACUUGACCAGGUGCUUCUCGAAACACCCCCGACACCUGCCAUCUGUUUGGAAACUCCGGGGCAGCCGACAGAAAAGCCUGGCCAGGCGGGGUGCUGGGAAGGUUUAUAACUUGCCAAGGAGCCCAGUGGCCUCCUCCUGGCCCCACAGGUGACUGCAAACUCCUCAGACUCAGGUGAGGCCAUGCUGGUGGCUGCACAGUGCUCAGAGGUGGCUCAUCCUGAGCCCCAAGGAGCUCCAUUCACAGGCUGAGGUGGAACCCCGCUCGGCCUGGCCCCCGCUGGCCUGGCUGUGGGUGACCAUCCGUGUGUCUUCUCACUGUCGGUUCUCCUCAGGCAACCCUGCCUCUUCUCAGCAGGCAGGAAACACUCCCCAAACUGAAUCGCUGAGCCCAAGAUGGAGGAAUUCAGAUAAAGAAACUGAGCCCCAGAGAGGUAAAGUGACUUGCCCAGGGUCACACAGCUCAUCAGUGGCAUUGACUGGAACCAGGAACCUGGUUUCCUGAGCCUAAGUCCACAGCUGCGUCUACCUUUGCUCUGAUUCAGCCAGUCCCGAGACCUGGCGUCACAAAGCCCCAGAGAAUGCCAGUGCUCUCUCUGGGCGCCAGUCAGCAAGCAUCCAUGGGCAGUUCAAGCUCUGGCUGCAGAACCAGGGGUCAGCACUCCUCACCCCACCCCGACCUGGCUCCAAGGGAUAAGCCCGUCACCCUCCUGGCCCCAGCUCGGGAAAGGAGGAGUUAUGCAGGGAGUUUUCGCUGCCCCCGACCCCGCACCAGCCCCUUCGCCCACCGCAAUCAACUGCAUUUGUAGCCACCCUCUUAGGGGAAGUAUAGGGGCUCUGGUCUUGGGAAGAAAACCAGACUUUCCAGAGCUGGGGUCAGGCGGUUGCAUGAGAUACAUGCGAAGAGGGAACUGGCAGGAGACAGCCAGGCUUCCUCGCAGCUGCCCAGGGACGCGGUGCUCGGGCCAGGCAGACAAGGGGGCCAGAACUGCCUGAGUCCCUCCCGGCUUUGGAUUCAGCGUGGUCUGGAGGCCGAACACCCACGGCGGCAGGGGGCGUGAAGACUAAGUGGAUGAUACGGUGAAAAACAGCUCACUACAGAAUCCUCCAGCUAUCCACAGGCUCCCUCCUUUGGGUCUUUCUGCAAAUGCCACCUUAGCGACACCUCUGCCCACCUGUCCCAAAGUCGCCCCCCAGUACUCUCCAACCGCUUUUGCUUUCUCUCUCUCCGGAGUGCUCGUCUCCGUCGGACACAUUUUCAGCUUAUCUUCGCAGCAAGAUCAACCCCAGCUUGCCUCUCCGCAAGCUCGGAGAGUCCUCACAACUCUGAUGCAGCCACUCCAAGCCCCAGACCUGUUGGGCCAUUUUGUGUCCCUUACCCUGGUGGGCUCCAAACCAGUGCUUCUCAAACUUAAACAUGCAGAGUGAUCGCCAGGGGGGUCUUGUUAAAUACAGAAAUGAAACCGGCAGGGCUGGAUGGGGAUUUGGAAUGCUUUCCCAGGUGAUGCUGAUGCUUCUGGCCACGGCCAGAAUUCAGGCUCUAGAAUUUAGCCUAAGGGCUAAUUAAUGUUCUUUCCAUUCUCCUUUCCUCUCCCCGUCUCCGCCUGUCCACCCUGACCCUUUGCUCACUCGCUCUCUGUCCCCGUCUCUCUCCCUCUGUCUCUCCCCUGCCCUCUCUCUUCCCUUCUCUCGCUGGUGUCCCCUCCUACGCCAUUCUCAUCUCUUCCUUUCCUUUCCCACUCCUGCCCUCCCAUUAGCUACACCAGGAGUUAACUGGCACCCUCAGGCAUUGUCCCAACCUGCUGGGCUAAAAGGUCAUAACCUCUGAUUCUAGGGGGAUUCCAGAGAAGGUGCCAGGCUCCCUAUUUGCAGAAGCAACAUUAAACCAGGAGACCCCCGAACUUAGCUAGUCAGGGCUGGGCUCAUCACAUUCCCUUCUUAAUAACCGCAUAAUGACUCCUAUUAACAGCCCAUCAAAGGCAAUUACUCCUCUGGAGGAACAAAGGCUCCCGCAAGCCAUCUCUCUCUCCAUUUGUAGCAAAUGCUCUCCUUCCACACCUGCAUCCUGACCACCCCUCCACCCCGCUUCUGAGGGCAAAUCUUACAGAUUUGUCUGCCUCCUCCUGGCUUCUCUCCAG